UCAAAUGGCCAAAGUGUGACCCAAGUUUCAUAAUAGCCUUAUGCCAAACAUACUAAUAACACUCAUUUACUUAAACCAGAAUUCAAUCCAUUAAGACAACACACAGAUUUCGGAUGUAAAAUCAGAGCAAGACCAUUAAAUCAGUAAAGUAUAAAAUGUCAUGCUUCAAAUACAGCUUUUCAUUUCAAUCUUCAUGUUCACUUCACAACAUUGAGGCUCAAAGUAGAUACCUGGAUAAAGCCAAAAGAAAUAUAGAAUUUCAGCAAGGGAAUGGUGAUAUCAACAGUAGUUAAGCAGAAAAACAACCAUUAAAAUCAACUCCAACCAAGAAUGAGGUGCAGCAAUAACAGUUCCAAUCAAACAGUAGCCCAGCAAGCUUUAAACCAACUUUGACGACCAGAUUCAACCCAUUUUAUACUUAGAUGAGUCCAGAUUGUUUCAGAAAUUGAAAAGAAUUCAAAACAAAUCACUAAAGAGACCCAAUGAAACAGUAAAAAUCAGUCGUUUUGUAUUUCUGUAUUUUUUUGUCUCUUAAAACUCUCAAAAUCAAGUCAUUUCAGCCCUCAGAGAAGUCAGAAUUCAAUUCAGGAGUUGGAAAUCUAAGAAAUUACUAAGGAAACUCAAUGAAACAGUAAUUUUUUGCAGCCGUUUGUAUUUUUUUAGAAUUUUUAUCUAUUAAGCUCUGCCUUUCAAUGCAAGAAAGCAUGCCUUUACAGGCCAGGAAGUAGGGCAGCUUUCAGAUUUAAUAUUUACCCCCUUAGUCCCUUUCCAAUUCUCAUUGUUGCUGCUUAAUCCUUAAACUUCUGACUUGCUAGCCAAGUAAGGCCUUUUUUCAGCUUCUAGGAAGCUUCCUAGACAACUAUCAAAAGAUUCCCUACCCCCAAUUUUCCAAAUUAACCUUUAAGUCAUCUGUUUUUACCCUCAGCAACCAAACAGACCAAGCUUGACCCAAAACCUUUGGGCUCCAAACAGAGACGGGCUUCUAAUGCCCCCCAAGUCACCUUACCCAAGGCCUUAAAACUAAUCAAAAAUUAGUCUGGUAAUGAAUUGAGCAAAGGCUGACAAAAGCCCCAAAAUAAUUAACAAGCCCGAAUUAAACCCAAUAGGAAUCCAAAUCAAACAAAGACAAAUUCCAAUAAAAUAUUAAUCUAAUUACAUGAUUUAAAAGCUUAAAAACCACUGAUUUUAAUUAGACUGAAACUAAUUCGAAUCAUAAGAAAAUAUGAAAACCAGUAAAGAAAAUAAACAAAGGACGAAAAGAAAAGAAAGAAAGAAAGAAAGAAAAUACUGAUGCAAUCCGCCAUGGAUCGAUGAAGAUGAGCCAAAAUCGUCGUUAAUCAAUUGUUCUAAACAAGAACAAUCGCUUAACGAAAGUUCUGAGUCAAGUCGAGUCUUGAAACGUUAUUUUCUUUCUGAUUUUCAAAUCUAGACUUGAAGUGAAGAUUGGGGAUUUUGGGGGAAAUUGGCACCAGAUUAACGUUUGAAGGGGUAUGGGGAGUAGAUGGUGAGAGUUUUGGAGUGAUUUGGAGCUUUCUUCCUUCGAAAAUGGCGGAACUUAGGGUUGCAUUAGGGUUGAGACGUGAGAGAGAUGAGGGAGAUGGGAGAUGGGGAACUGAAGGGUCUCUGUAUUUUCGGACAUUAUUAUAUGACAAAGGAAAUAGUUCUAGGACCGUUGGAUGAUCUGAAAUGAAAGGCUAAGAUUGGAUUGGAAUUAAAACUUUAAACGCUGUCGUUUGGACAUUAAAGAGACCGACCAGUUUGGACCCAGGUAUUGGGCGGGUUCUGGGGAAAAAAAUUGGGCUUGGGUGAAUUAAUUUAAAGCAACCCAAAAUCCAGCUCUCUUCUUAUUUUGUUUUCAAUUCUUUUCAAUUCUCUAAUUUCAAAUCAAUUUUUCAAACAGUUCUUUUCCUUCUUUUUUUUUCACAAAUUAAACUAAAAUCCUAAAUUAAGCUAUAAAACAAGACUAACUAAUCCUAAAUAAUUACCACAAUUAAUAAAUUAAAGAAAAAUUACUCAAAAAUCAAAAAUUAAAAUUAAAAGGUGCAAAAUAACUAUUUUUGUGAUUUUCUUUUUUAUAAAAUAACUUAAUUACUAAUUAAUUCUUACAACUACCAAGUUAAAUCCUAAAUGCAAAUGCAACAUAUUUUUUGUAUUUUUCAUCAAUUAAACAAAAAAUAAAAAUGCACAGACAAAUGCAAACAAUUAGCAAAAAAAGGCCAUAAAAAUCCACAAAAUUUGCAAAUAAUGAGAAAAAAUUAUUUUUGUUUUGAAUUUGUGGGAGUAAUUCAUAUAGAGCAAAAAUCACGUGCUCACACAACCAUUCAAACAUAUGGUAGAAGCGUUUAACUGUUAGGUGCAUUGCAUCCCAACGUGCGAUUUCCUAUAUAUUAAAUGUCUCAAAACUAACAAGGUUGUGGUGUGAGCAAAUUAGCCAGGUUCUGUUCAGGUGGUUGGUUUUGUUGGUAUACGGUGAUGAACGCGCAACCUUACAUGCGACCACAACAUUAUACAUUAAACCGCUCCACCUCCCAGAAAUGUCCAUCCUUACCAAAACUCCAUAUAAUCCCCAAUCAAAUGUUCCCCAGUACAAUCCUCGCCCAACAAAGCCUUUCAAAAGGAAUCAGUUCAUCCCUAUUGGUGAAUCAUACUCGGGCUUAUUCCAAAAGCUAGUCAAGCGAGGUCUGCUGCAGCCAGUGGCCCCAAACCAGCCAAACCCUGAGUCCCCCUCGCGUCAUGUUGAUGCUAGAUAUGAAUACCACUCUAGAGCAGUGGGACACAGUACAGAAGAUUGUUGGACCCUCAAAAGGGCAAUUGAAGAUUUGAUCGAAGCUGAAAGAAUCAUUCUUCGAGACGAAGAGGCUCCUGAUGUGACAAACAAUCCGUUGUUUGCUUACAAUGAGGAAUUCAAUCUGGCACUGAAGGCCAUUACAGCCAUUGCCGAGACAGAAGAAAAGCAAAAAACGGUCGUCGAACUUGAAAGUUCACUAUCAGACGGGAAUCUCGGUAGCAAGUCUUGAUAUCCUUUCUGCGUCCGGAUUAUCUCAGGGUGUGAUCCGGAUGCUUUGCUUUAUUGUCUUACUUUCCGAUGUUAACUCUUCUAUCUUUUAAAAUUCAAAAAAAAUCAAAAUCAUCAAAAUCGAAAAAAAAAUCAAAUGAAAUUAAUAUUUUACUGUCCAGGAAUGACUCUUUUCUUAAUCUUGUCACUUUUCUUAUUCUCUUUUCAGUUCUGUUAAAUGCAGAUUUUAAUAGCAUGACAUGCUUACGGACUUCAUGCCCAGAUCCUGAAACGUUGUCAGACCUCGAAAUAAUGAAUCAAGAAUUAGAUCGCAAUGAAGAUAAGUUUAAGGAAAUAAAACAAAGUGUUGGAACAGCUGAAGGAAAAUUGGUUCCAUAUUGGAAAGGUCCAUACAUUGCAACAAGAGUACUACCAAAAGAUUGCAUUGUACUUGGGACAAAUUAAAGGAAAUGUCCCUCAAACAAUUGUCAAUGCAAACGCAAUCAAAAGUUACUAUGUUGGAUCCUCUAUAUAACAUUAAUGUUCUCCGAUUUGGGAUGAAGAAGGCUUUCUUUCUCACUAUUCAAAUAUUCAACCCUUUGCAAACCCUUUGAGCCGACUCCCAUUCUUUGAUUACCCUCUUUGGAACCUGGAAGUUAUUAUUAAAAAAAUGAUGAAUGAAGAAAAAAUAGAAGAAAAAGAAAAAUACAAAAAAAGGAAGAAAAAGGCAAAAAGAAAAUGAAAAGAAAAAUGAAAAAAAAAAGGAAAGGAAAAAGGAAAGAAAAAAGAAAGAGAAAAGAUAACAAAACAAAAGAAAAACAAAGUUCCUGAACUACGUUCGACUUGAUUCUGAAAGGAUACGUAGGCAGCUUCUCGCUGGGGUUCAGUCACACCAAAACAAAAAUUCACAUUCCCCGAAAAGUUGAAACUGGGGCAGAAGUUAUAAUGAUUCGGCGAUGGUUUCGCCUGAAGGUUCCAAAUUUGUAAUUAAAUCCAAAUGUUUUUUACCCCAAAACCAUAUUCAAGUCCUUCUGUUCGAUCGACAAAGAGGUUCAAAUUGGAAGAUACAAUCAUUUGGAUAUGAUAUAACCAAAUAAGAGAAAUAAAAUGAGAGAGUCUUAUCGGUGAAAACCCUCACGGGCACCGUAAGGCGAUGGUAAGCAGAGAAAUUAAAAAUGAGAGAGCCUUGUUAGUGAAAGCUUGCAGAAAGCACUAUAAGGAAACAGUGAGAAGAGAAAUGAGAGAGGUCAGCUAGUGAAAACCCGCAAAAGGCGCCACCGAUUAAAAAGAGGAUCCUCACAACCAUCGGCAUUAACAGAGUCCUGGCAAGGUUCCUCGGUUUUAAGGCAAAGUUGUGAUGAAUUUCUGAGAGCCGAACGGUUUACACGGAUUAGGCAUCCAGUCCAAAAGGCAUGUCAUGUUCAUUGAAGUCCACAUGUACUCCAGAUAAGUCCUUCUUUCCUUUCCCCGAAAGGGAUACCUCUUUUCUAAAUUCAUUUGUCCAUUCCAUUAUUUAUUUUUUCUUUGAAUUUCUUUCGGUCUAACUCCAUUUCGUAACUAAGACAAAGAAGAGAUAGCAAGAUGAUUUACAGGGCUUUCGUUUGAUACAAGCUCAUGUGCAAAAAGGCACCCAGCCUCGUCAGGGGCAUCAAGUCAACCUCGACUGGUCAUGGCGGUCGAUGCUCUGAAAUUUAAAGCUCUCAAAAGAAAGAAAUCAAAUUGAAGUGCCUAUAAGGGCGAAGUGAAGUUGAAAAGGUUGAGUCCCACAUGGUUAUAAGUCUCAAGUGAAAGAAAGAAGCCAGAAAUGAAAGGCCUACGAGGGCAAAAUAAAGUUGGAAAAGGUUAAGUCCCACGCGACUAGCCAUUGCAGCAAAGUUUGAGGAGACAAGAAGUUCCUCAAUGCACCAAAGUUUAAAAUUGAAAAAAAAAUCAGAAGUGGAAGGCCUACAAAGGCAAAAUAAAGUUUAAAAGGUUGAGUUCCAUGUGACCAACCGUCAUGGCAAUGUCUGGAAAAGCUAGAGGUUCUCCAAGGUCAGAAAUGUAAUCGGUUUUCAAGAAACAACCAGUUGCAAUUGAAAGGCCGAGAUCAAAUGAUUGAAAUAAUCAUGGCCACAAAACCAACCACCGUUUCAAACUGAUAAAUUGUUCUUUGUUAAAAAAAAAGGAAACAGGUGCAAUCCAGAAGCAACCUUGCAAGAAGCAGGUGCUACCAAAAAGAAACUGCGCAAGUGCUAGAAACAGCUUUGCAGCAACAACCCAAAAUAGAAGUAUCCUCCAAAAUUCUUUCCCGCAUUUUACUCACUCUCUUAAAUUUAAAAAAAUGAUGAAUGAUUAAAAAAAAUGAAAUUGAAUGAAAAUAAAGAAAAGAAGAAAAGUUCAAAGUCAUUGUAGUAUAGGGUCUCCAAUCCCUAGCUGCGUUUUUUUCCCAACAUAGUGUCUCCAAUCCCUAGUUAAUUUUAUCUUAGACAUAGGGUAUCCACUCCUUAGUCUAUUUUCCAACAUAUGGUCUCCACUCCCUAGUGGAUACUAGCAUAACCUGAUGCCAACAUAAGGCCACCACUCCCUAGCUGAUGCCAAUAUAGGGUCUCCACUCGCUAAUUGAUGCUAGCAUAACCCGAUGCCAACAUAGGGUCACUACUCCCUAGUUGAUGCUAGCACAUCCUGAUACCAAUAUAGGGUCACCACUCCCUAGUUGAUGCCAACAUAGGGUCUCCACUCCCUAGUUGAUGCCAGCAUAACCUGAUGCCAACAUAGGGUCACCAAUCCCUAGUUGAUGAUUUUCAGAUAAUAGGGUCUCCAAUCUCUAGUUGAUUUCAUUUUAGAUAUAGGGUCUCCACUGCCUAAUAUCUUUUUCCCAAGGAUACAUAAUCCUGAUUUUUAUUGCUUUUAAUAAUGAAGUAAUAUAGAGUUUUGGUUACAAAUAACUCACAAAAUUUUCCUAGUAAAAAUUGGGGCAAACAAUUAUGUUUGUUUGUUUGUUUUGAUGUCUGAGCAGGUUAUACCUCGAGACACAGGGUUUGAGACGACCAAAAGAAGAAAUCUCAAUCCAGAAUAAAAGAAAAAGAAGAAAAGAAAAAGAAGUGAACUCAAAGUACAAAAGCGGAGAAAAGAUAUGAACUGCUCAAGACCUGAUUGAAGUCACAAGCUUUGCAUGUCCCUCCUUGAUCCGAAAAGCUGAAGUAGAAUGAAUCAGCACUUACAGCUAAUAAACAUUAAGAUUCAAAUCAGAGUCUGCAUGAAAAACUAGCCAAGACUCAAGAUCAAGCUUCAAAAGACUCAUAGAUAGGAAUCUUGUAACUCGUAGCUGAUAUGCUUAGUUAGUCUUUCUUAUUUUUGAUUUUGGUGUAAUAAGGAGCUCAGCAAGCAGAAACAACAGCAACAACAGUGAAAUCACAGCUUCUCGGUAGUCCCAGCUACCAAAAUUUUUAGAACUACACUGACCUGAUUUCUUUAUAGCCAAGGAUAUGUAGGCAACCUCCGAAGCAAGGUUCGAUGAGAUUUUUUCAAAACAAUGCUUCCCAUGAAGUUUUAAACGAGCAAAAAUUGCUCGUAAUUGCUCACUUUAUCUUUGCCCGAAAACUCUUCAUGUUUUCGCGCAAAGAGGGGCAGUUGUGAGUACCUAAUUUUUUCUCCGCAUGGAAAUAACUCCUAAAAAUAUACCAACAAUAAUUUUAUGGAUUUUAGGAGUUUUUAUUUAUUCAGUUGCAUUUCAUGCAUGUUUAAUAUUUUAAAAUCAUAAGAAAAACUAUAAAAUUGUCACAUUUUAAUUUCAUGUUAUCUUAAUUAGCUACUCAUUAAUUGUUAAAAAUUAAUACAUAAAAAUCAAACAAAAUAUUUUUUAAAUUUUACAUGAAUUUGUUAAUAGGUAAAUAGAUUUAAUUUUUCUAAUUAGAUUUAUGUUAGGUUUUAAUUUAGAAAUUAAUUUGUUAGAAUUUAAAAUCAAGAAAAAAGAAAGAAAAGAAAUGGGUUUAUUUUGGUGUUGAAUUCACUGGGCCAAGUGUAUAGCGGCCCAGUCAUUUUAAAUUCGCCCAACUCGUCUGACCCGCCGGCCCAAGACCCUCUUCUCAUUAAACUCACCUUCCCAAACCCUAAAAGAAGACAAUCAGAUCCCUUCCCCUUUAGAAAAGAGACCAGCGUCGUUCCCCCACCCCCCUCCCCCCCCGUCCCCCCCCCCCUCGAGGNNNNNNNNNNNNNNNNNNNNNNNNNNNNNNNNNNNNNNNNNNNNNNNNNNNNNNNNNNNNNNNNNNNNNNNNNNNNNNNNNNNNNNNNNNNNNNNNNNNNNNNNNNNNNNNNNNNNNNNNNNNNNNNNNNNNNNNNNNNNNNNNNNNNNNNNNNNNNNNNNNNNNNNNNNNNNNNNNNNNNNNNNNNNNNNNNNNNNNNNNNNNNNNNNNNNNNNNNNNNNNNNNNNNNNNNNNNNNNNNNNNNNNNNNNNNNNNNNNNNNNNNNNNNNNNNNNNNNNGACAACCUUCCUCCAUGAAAAGACUCUCCUCACUCUCACCUCCACUCUCUCUUCACUCACCUCUCACACACAUAGAGACAGGAAUAACGAGAGAAAAACAUAGGUUAAAAAUGGACAAAAAGAAAGAUAGAGAGAGAGGACGAAACACCUAGAGAGAGGGACUUUCUUCUUCUUCUUGGCCAAGAGCAACGUCUCUGCUGCUGGUCUUCUUCUUUCUCAGAAAAAAUUGCAGCACCAUAAACUCACAUCUGUUCAACACCAAAAAUCAUCCCCAAAUUUCAGCCUAAAACACCUCUGAAAUACCCCAAAAACUAGCUGAAAACCAGAUCUAAAACACCUCAAAAUCUGCCCCAAAACCCACCUCCAUCAACACCAAUAUUCAGCUCCAAAGCUGCUGCAAAAAUGCAGCAACUCUCCUCCCCAAAUCAGCCAUGAAAUUCACCUCCAAAACACCUUUAAACUAGCUCCAAAAUAGCAAUAUUUCACAGCCGAAUCCAGCUGGAAAAUACAGCAAUAAGCACCAUUAAAACCAUCAUAAUUCUUUCCCAAGGCAGCGUGUAAUUGGGAUUGAACCAGAUUAGAUUUGACAUCGAGGUUCCGGCGUGGCUUUCAGUUGGUGGGACCGUUCGCUCUCAGCUUCGUCAGAGGCUCCUCUUUGCAUAUUGGUUGGAAGCUCUUUCAAACAUUGAAAGUUAAUCAAAAGGUCCAUUUUUAAUCUAUUUUUUUCCAAUAUAAUAGUAGAUCUGUUGUGACUUUUGUUAUAUGCUAUGCCUAUUCCUAUGGUCGGGUAAAUGUUUUCCUGUUUGAAUUUGCUUAUAGAUUUGAUGUAUAGAGUUAUAACUUGAAUUAAUUAUGUGACUAUUAAGUAAUUUGUUUAGUUUGAUUAAAUUCAAAAUUAAAUAAUGAUGUCCAUGUGAUUAGUUGGGAAUUUGUGGUGGACUGUGAAUAUUUAGAAAUUAGAAUUUUAGAUGUUCUUUGUUUUGUAUAGCACAUAGUAUCAAAUUAAUGUUUUUGCUGUAAAUGUCCGAAGUCUUUUCUCUUUCUUUAUAGAAGUUUUAAUUACGUACAUUUCUUUUGCUUAUUGUUUGAAUAUUUUUAGUUGAAAUCAUGUUGCAACAAGUUUAUUUACUAGUUAAAAUAGAUCUUUGAUAUACUGCACUAGGCUUCAUUAGAUUUUUGAAUGCUUAGAGAAUAAUAUUAUAGUGCUCAACGGAUUUUGGGCCUAAGUUUAGUUUAGGGAUGACGGAUGCUGGAAAUAAUUUUGACGAAAUGAUAAUGAAAUUUGGCCCAAAAGAAUUAUGCUUGGCC
rnacentral:lncRNA from 1 species